UCUCUCUCUCUCUCUCCUUGUGCUCCUUGAGAGAUUCAUCAGAGGAAGAUGGACAGAUUGAGUUGCACGAACGCGAGGUUACGAGACCGAGGAGUGAAAAAGGAUCGAGAUCAUGGAUCGGGAUCGAGACAGGGAUCGAGACUGAGACUGGUCGAAUCGAAGCAAGAGGAGAAGACGAGAUCAUGAAUACUAGGUUUCUGGUAAUCGAGUUGUUAUGGUAGCGAAGGGAUUCUAAUUUAUGGAUCAAAGGGCAAAGCUCCUCCUAAGGCUGAGUGGAUGGCCCUAGAAGUGCUCAGAAAUGAACCUUCAGAUGAAAAGUAGGUUGUUCUUUUUCAUUUUUUUCCCUACGUAAAUCAUUUAUGUUUUUAAAUUUUUAUUUAUUUGUAU